rnacentral:rRNA from 1 species
CCUACGGGAGGCUGCAGUGAGGAAUAUUGGUCAAUGGGCGUAAGCCUGAACCAGCCAAGUCGCGUGAGGGACGACGGCCCUACGGGUUGUAAACCUCUUUUGCCGGGGGACAAACGGCGGCACGCGUGCCGUCCUGAGGGUACCCGGAGAAAAAGCAUCGGCUAACUCCGUGCCAGCAGCCGCGGUAAUACGGAGGAUGCGAGCGUUAUCCGGAUGUAUUGGGUUUAAAGGGUGCGUAGGCGGGAUGCCAAGUCAGCGGUAAAAAUGCGGUGCUCAACGCCGUCGAGCCGUUGAAACUGGCGUUCUUGAGUGGGCGAGAAGUAUGCGGAAUGCGUGGUGUAGCGGUGAAAUGCAUAGAUAUCACGCAGAACUCCGAUUGCGAAGGCAGCAUACCGGCGCCCUACUGACGCUGAGGCACGAAAGCGUGGGUAUCGAACAGGAUUAGAUACCCUUGUAGUC